UACAUAUUGUGCAAGCGUUAUUCGGAAUUAUUGGGCGUAAAGAGCGUGUAGGCGGCCAUACAGGUCAGCUGUGAAAACUCGAGGCUCAACCUCGAGACGUCGGUUGAAACCGUUUGGCUAGAGUCCGGAAGAGGAGAGUGGAAUUCCCGGUGUAGCGGUGAAAUGCGCAGAUAUCGGGAAGAACACCCGUGGCGAAGGCGGCUCUCUGGGACGGUACUGACGCUGAGACGCGAAAGCGUGGGGAGCGAACAGG
rnacentral:rRNA from 1 species